rnacentral:rRNA from 1 species
AGAGUUUGAUCCUGGCUCAGAACGAACGCUGGCGGCGUGCCUAACACAUGCAAGUCGUACGAGAAAUCCUGGGCAACUGGGAAAGUAAAGUGGCGCACGGGUGAGUAACGCGUGGGUAACCUACCCUUGGACUUGGGAUAACUCCGCGAAAGCGGGGUUAAUACCGAAUGAUAUUCCGAUUUCUAUGGGGAUCGGAAUCAAAGGUGGCCUCUGCAUGCAAGCUACUGUCUAAGGAUGGGCCCGCGUACCAUUAGCUAGUUGGCAGGGUAAUGGCCUACCAAGGCAACGAUGGUUAGCUGGUCUUAGGGGAUGGCCAGCCACACUGGAACUGAGACACGGUCCAGACUCCUACGGGAGGCAGCAGUGGGGAAUCUUGCGCAAUGGGGGAAACCUUGACGCAGCAACGCCGCGUGGGUGAUGAAGGCCUUCGGGUCGUAAAGCCCUGUCAGGUGGGAAGAAACAUAUCGGUGCUAAUAUCACAGAUGUUUGACGGUACCGCCGGAGGAAGCACCGGCUAACUCCGUGCCAGCAGCCGCGGUAAUACGGAGGGUGCAAGCGUUGUUCGGAAUUACUGGGCGUAAAGCGCGUGUAGGCGGUCGGGCAAGUCAGAUGUGAAAGCCUUCCGCUUAACGGAAGAAGUGCAUUUGAUACUACCCGGCUGGAGUACGGGAGAGGAGAGUGGAAUUCCCGGUGUAGAGGUGAAAUUCGUAGAUAUCGGGAGGAACACCAGUGGCGAAGGCGGCUCUCUGGUCCGAUACUGACGCUGAGACGCGAAAAGCGUGGGGGAGCAAACAGGGAUU